CAGACGGGUACGGGGAAUUAUGGUUUGAUUCCGGAGAGGGAGCCUGAGAGAUGGCUACCAGGUCCAAGGACAGCAGCAGGCGCGAAAAUUACCUAAGCCUGGUAACAGGGCGGUAGUAAGGAGACGUAAGAAUGAUGAGCGAGUAAAAAACGCACUAAAUACAGGAGGACAAGACUGGUGCCAGCACCCGCGGUAAUACCAGCUCCUGGAGUGUCUAUGAUGAUUGCUGCAGUUAAAGAGUUCGUAGUCGAGACUGAUAUAUGUGCGUGACAAGCUAUCAAUCAAGGAUAGUAUAGCGUAGAUAGGCAGUAGAAUAAGGAGCGUUUAGGGGACAGGUUAUUAAGCGACGAGGGGUGAAAUCUGGUGACUCGCUUAGGAGCAACAGAGGCGAAAGCGCUGUCCAGGAGCGAAUCCGAUGAUAAAGGACGUAGGCUAGAGGAUCGAAGACGAUUAGAGACCGUUGUAGUUCUAGCAGUAAACGAUGCCGAUACCGUGGAGUUUGAGAAGGCUUUGCGGAAGAGAAAUUUAGUAGGGCCCUGGGGAAAGUACACGCGCAAGCGAGAAAUUUAAAGGAAAUUGACGGAAGAACACCACAAGGAGUGGAGUGUGCGGCUUAAUUUGACUCAACACGGGACAGCUUACCAGACCCGACGAUCGCAAGAGUGUAGUACACGAUAGAUCGGAGAGUGGUGCAUGGCCGUUAACGACAAUUGGGGUGACCUUUGGGUUAAGUCCGAGAAGUAGUGAGACCCCUGCAAAGGACAGGUGUUCAAAGCACAGGAAGGAAGGGUCAAGAACAGGUCAGUGAUGCCCUUAGAUGGUCUGGGCUGCACGCGCACUACAGUGGUCACAGAAAUUGAAGUAUUAUGAUAUAGAAAGAAAGGUGAUCGAGAGGAAAUGAGCUCUGUAAGGGGCUCAGGAACGAGGAAUUGCUAGUAAUCGCGGGCUCAUUAAGACGCGA
rnacentral:rRNA from 1 species